GUUAAAAGACCGGUUCUCGUGCGAUCACCGAAGUUAAGCAACGUCGAUCCUAGUCAAUACCUAUAUUGUUGACCGCUUGGGAAUACCAAGUGCUGUAAG